rnacentral:rRNA from 1 species
UACGUAGGGGGCAAGCGUUGUCCGGAUUCAUUGGGCGUAAAGAGCGUGUAGGCGGCCAGGUAGGUCGGUUGUGAAAACUGGAGGCUCAACCUUCAGAGGUCGACCGAAACCAUCUGGCUAGAGUCCGGGAGAGGAGAGUGGAAUUCCUGGUGUAGCGGUGAAAUGCGCAGAUAUCAGGAGGAACACCAAUUGCGAAGGCAGCUCGCUGGAACGUAACUGACGCUGAGACGCGAAAGCGUGGGGAGCAAACAGG